CCCUUAGAUGUUCUGGGCCGCACGCGCGCUACACUGAUGCAUUCAACGAGCCUAGCCUUGACCGAGAGGUCCGGGUAAUCUUUGAAACUGCAUCGUGAUGGGGCUAGAUUAUUGCAAUUAUUAAUCUUCAACGAGGAAUGCCCAGUAAGCGUGAUUCAUCAAAUCGCGUUGAUUACGUCCCUGCCCUUUGUACACACCGCCCGUCGCUCCUACCGAUUGAGUGUGUUGGUGAGGAGUUCGGAUUGGCUCUUAGUGGUGGUUCGCCACCACCUAGAGCUGAGAAGUUCUCCAAACCGCCCCACUUAGAGGAAGGAGAAGUCGUAACA
rnacentral:rRNA from 1 species